UACGUAGGGGGCAAGCGUUGUCCGGAUUUAUUGGGCGUAAAGAGCGUGUAGGCGGUUCGGUAGGUCCGUUGUGAAAACUCGAGGCUCAACCUCGAGACGCCGAUGGAAACCCCCGAACUAGAGUCCGGGAGAGGAGAAUGGAAUUCCUGGUGUAGCGGUGAAAUGCGCAGAUAUCAGGAAGAACACCCGUGGCUAAGGCGGUUCUCUAGUACGGUACUGACGCUGAGACGCGAAAGCGUGGGGAGCGAACAGG
rnacentral:rRNA from 1 species